rnacentral:rRNA from 1 species
GGGUUGUGAGGUUAAGCGACUAAGCGUACACGGUGGAUGCCCUGGCAGUCAGAGGCGAUGAAGGGCGUGCUAAUCUGCGAUAAGCGCCGGUAAGGUGAUAUGAACCGUUAUAACCGGCGAUACCCGAAUGGGGAAACCCAGUGUGAUUCGUCACACUAUCAUUAACUGAAUCCAUAGGUUAAUGAGGCGAACCGGGGGAACUGAAACAUCUAAGUACCCCGAGGAAAAGAAAUCAACCGAGAUUCCCCCAGUAGCGGCGAGCGAACGGGGAGGAGCCCAGAGCCUGAAUCAGCAUGUGUGUUAGUGGAAGCGUCUGGAAAGGUGCGCGAUACAGGGUGACAGCCCCGUACACAAAAGCGCAUGUGCUGUGAGCUCGAUGAGUAGGGCGGGACACGUGGUAUCCUGUCUGAAUAUGGGGGGACCAUCCUCCAAGGCUAAAUACUCCUGACUGACCGAUAGUGAACCAGUACCGUGAGGGAAAGGCGAAAAGAACCCCGGCGAGGGGAGUGAAAAAGAACCUGAAACCGUGUACGUACAAGCAGUGGGAGCACAGGUUUACCUGUGUGACUGCGUACCUUUUGUAUAAUGGGUCAGCGACUUAUAUUCUGUAGCAAGGUUAACCGUAUAGGGGAGCCGGAGGGAAACCGAGUCUUAAUUGGGCGUUAAGUUGCAGGGUAUAGACCCGAAACCCGGUGAUCUAGCCAUGGGCAGGUUGAAGGUUGGGUAACACUAACUGGAGGACCGAACCGACUAAUGUUGAAAAAUUAGCGGAUGACCUGUGGCUGGGGGUGAAAGGCCAAUCAAACCGGGAGAUAGCUGGUUCUCCCCGAAAGCUAUUUAGGUAGCGCCUCGUGAAUUCAUCUCCGGGGGUAGAGCACUGUUUCGGCUAGGGGGCCAUCCCGGCUUACCAACCCGAUGCAAACUGCGAAUACCGGAGAAUGUUAUCACGGGAGACACACGGCGGGUGCUAACGUCCGUCGUGAAGAGGGAAACAACCCAGACCGCCAGCUAAGGUCCCAAAGUCAUGGUUAAGUGGGAAACGAUGUGGGAAGGCCCAGACAGCCAGGAUGUUGGCUUAGAAGCAGCCAUCAUUUAAAGAAAGCGUAAUAGCUCACUGGUCGAGUCGGCCUGCGCGGAAGAUGUAACGGGGCUAAACCAUGCACCCAAGCUGCGGACAGCGAACGUAUCACCCAAGACAACUUUACGGAGUUGACGAUUGACGGAGCGAAGCGACGUCAAAGCGUUCAUUAAAGUCGAGUUGGCUUAGGGAUACGUUCGUUGGGUAGGGGAGCGUUCUGUAAGCCUGUGAAGGUGUGUCGUGAGGCAUGCUGGAGGUAUCAGAAGUGCGAAUGCUGACAUAAGUAACGAUAAAGCGGGUGAAAAGCCCGCUCGCCGGAAGACCAAGGGUUCCUGUCCAACGUUAAUCGGGGCAGGGUGAGUCGACCCCUAAGGCGAGGCCGAAAGGCGUAGUCGAUGGGAAACGGGUUAAUAUUCCCGUACUUGGUGUUACUGCGAAGGGGGGACGGAGAAGGCUAUGUUGGCCGGGCGACGGUUGUCCCGGUUUAAGCGUGUAGGUGUGUGUUCCAGGUAAAUCCGGUUCACUUUAACACUGAGGCGUGACGACGAGGCACUACGGUGCUGAAGCAACAAAUGCCCUGCUUCCAGGAAAAGCCUCUAAGCAUCAGGUAACAUCAAAUCGUACCCCAAACCGACACAGGUGGUCAGGUAGAGAAUACCAAGGCGCUUGAGAGAACUCGGGUGAAGGAACUAGGCAAAAUGGUGCCGUAACUUCGGGAGAAGGCACGCUGACACGUAGGUGAAGUGAUUUACUCAUGGAGCUGAAGUCAGUCGAAGAUACCAGCUGGCUGCAACUGUUUAUUAAAAACACAGCACUGUGCAAACACGAAAGUGGACGUAUACGGUGUGACGCCUGCCCGGUGCCGGAAGGUUAAUUGAUGGGGUCAGCGCAAGCGAAGCUCCUGAUCGAAGCCCCGGUAAACGGCGGCCGUAACUAUAACGGUCCUAAGGUAGCGAAAUUCCUUGUCGGGUAAGUUCCGACCUGCACGAAUGGCGUAAUGAUGGCCAGGCUGUCUCCACCCGAGACUCAGUGAAAUUGAACUCGCUGUGAAGAUGCAGUGUACCCGCGGCAAGACGGAAAGACCCCGUGAACCUUUACUAUAGCUUGACACUGAACAUUGAGCCUUGAUGUGUAGGAUAGGUGGGAGGCUUUGAAGUGUGGACGCCAGUCUGCAUGGAGCCGACCUUGAAAUACCACCCUUUAAUGUUUGAUGUUCUAACGUGGACCCGUAAUCCGGGUUGCGGACAGUGUCUGGUGGGUAGUUUGACUGGGGCGGUCUCCUCCUAAAGAGUAACGGAGGAGCACGAAGGUUGGCUAAUCCUGGUCGGACAUCAGGAGGUUAGUGCAAUGGCAUAAGCCAGCUUGACUGCGAGCGUGACGGCGCGAGCAGGUGCGAAAGCAGGUCAUAGUGAUCCGGUGGUUCUGAAUGGAAGGGCCAUCGCUCAACGGAUAAAAGGUACUCCGGGGAUAACAGGCUGAUACCGCCCAAGAGUUCAUAUCGACGGCGGUGUUUGGCACCUCGAUGUCGGCUCAUCACAUCCUGGGGCUGAAGUAGGUCCCAAGGGUAUGGCUGUUCGCCAUUUAAAGUGGUACGCGAGCUGGGUUUAGAACGUCGUGAGACAGUUCGGUCCCUAUCUGCCGUGGGCGCUGGAGAACUGAGGGGGGCUGCUCCUAGUACGAGAGGACCGGAGUGGACGCAUCACUGGUGUUCGGGUUGUCAUGCCAAUGGCACUGCCCGGUAGCUAAAUGCGGAAGAGAUAAGUGCUGAAAGCAUCUAAGCACGAAACUUGCCCCGAGAUGAGUUCUCCCUGAGACUUAGAGUCUCCUGAAGGAACGUUGAAGACGACGACGUUGAUAGGCCGGGUGUGUAAGCGCAGCGAUGCGUUGAGCUAACCGGUACUAAUGAACCGUGAGGCUUAACCUUACAACGCCGAAG